rnacentral:lncRNA from 13 species
CUCUGUGGUCCUCCCAGGCUGGAGCUCUGGAGACAAUUCACAUUCCAUUCCGUGAAUUCCACAGCCCCCACUCCUGCCCUCAGUCUCCUUCAACACAUCCCCAUAGACUGGGAUCCCCAUAGACUGGGGCCGCUGGGGCUGGGGUCUGUCUUUGCAGACGUGCCAGGCCACAUGCCCCACCCACCUCUACCAGCUUCGCCGCCUCUGAAGUUCCUCCAGUGGCACUGACGAGGGGCCCUGUGGUGGAGGGUGCAGCUAAAUGAGGCCUGACCAGGUGGUUGAGCUCAGUUUGGCUGUCCUUGUCUUCCUUGGACCUGCUGGGCAGCCCCAGGGACGACACAAGCACCUACCUCACGGAGGUUGUGGGCUGUAGAGCCAUCUCCAAGGUGGCAAUCUGUGAGUCCCAUGAGGUCAAGGUGGCAGAAAGUGGCACCACUCAGCUCCCAGAGCAAGGCGCAGCAAGCAGGGAGCUGCACCUGCCUCAAACCUAAGGUCUUAUGUGGGACUAUCUUCAGAGCCCCUCUCCACCUCCUGGAGUGGGGCAGAGGCUGCUCCUGCCACCGACACCGAGAACCAUCAGGGCUAAGGCGGAAUCAGAACACAGAAUACACUACAGCAAUGAGAGUGGCGAGUCACUGCUGCUACACACAGCCCUGUGGAGGAUUCUCACAGAUGCAACGCUGAACGAGAGGCCAGGCACCAAUGGCACAGGUGGGACUGAGGAGUCCCAACCCAGGGCAGGAAGGGCACAGGAAUAUUGUUCUGUUUGUAGAUCACCUGCUAGUUACCCAGCUGCAUUCAUGUUUGAUAAUGUAUUGAGGAAUAUUUUUAUGAUUGAUGCACUUUCCCAUAUGCAUGUUAUACUUCAAAAACAAGUUUUCAUAAAAAAGAAAAAGAAAUGAAAGAAAAGAGAAAAACAAUAUCAACGCUCUCUGCUGUUCCCUCCUGUCCUCCCAUGCCCUUGCCCUGUGCAGGCCAGCACCACCGCCCCGGCCCUGGUAUUCCCCUCACGUGCCCACCUCCCCACACCUCCCACUUCCACUCCAAAUUAGAGUUCGCAGCAAUAAAAGGACACUACUGCGAAAAAAAAUUAUUCA